ACCUAUAACUAACUUCCUAGUGAAAGUUUCAAUAAUUACAAAUUAUAGGCAAAAGUAGUUAAUAGUUAUUUGAAUAUUUAUAAGAAUUAUACAAAUCAGAUGAAAAAUAAUCUAACUGAAAUAGGAGAUAAAAAAGGAAAUUUGAAAGCAACCCAACAACAAUUAGAGAUAAACAAGGAAUGUUAAAUGCAAUCAAUUUUCUUAAAUUUCUUCAAUACAAUCAAUUUCCUUAAAUUCUUCCAACUUGUCCACAUAUUUCUCCUUCAUAACUGAACAUUAAAUUUUAUUUUUAGAAAUCUGCCAAAAAUGGAGAAAAAAUGUUUUCUUAAGAUUUGAAUAAGCAGUAGAAGAUUUCAAUUCAUACAAUUGAUAACAGGUCCUAUUGAACAAAUUGAAGUAAUUGCUAUGAAUGAGUAAUUUCAAGCAAAUUUUUCUGGACCAAAUCAUAAUAAAGUUUUGAUUGAUCAGGUGUAUACGAAGAAAACUAUUUUGAAGCCGGUAAUGACGUCGUACUCAAUCAGACACAAAUUUCAAUUCAAUACGAUAAAGUCAAAUGUAAACCGAUAAGUAAAAUGUAUUUAAAAUUGUGUAGGUCAGCGUAUUUGUAUGAGCAUGUAAUUUUGUACACGUUUGUAUACUUGUACAAGUAUAUGUAUGUUUGUAUAUUUGUAUAUGUAAGUAUAUUUGUAUAAGUUUUCUUAAUGUUUGGACAUUUGUAUAUGUAAUUGUAUUUGUAUAAGUAUAUGAUUUGAAAGUAUUAAAUGCA